rnacentral:rRNA from 1 species
UGCAAGUCGAACGAACCUUCGGGUUAGUGGCGGACGGGUGAGUAACGCGUGGGACUCUGCCCUCAGGAGGGGGAUAACGGUUGGAAACGGCCGCUAAUACCCCAUAUGCCGAGAGGUGAAAUGAAUUUCGCAUGAGGAUGAGCCCGCGUCUGAUUAGCUAGUUGGUGAGGUAAGAGCUCACCAAGGCAUCGAUCAGUAGCUGGUCUGAGAGGAUGAUCAGCCACACUGGGACUGAGACACGGCCCAGACUCCUACGGGAGGCAGCAGUGGGGAAUUUUCCGCAAUGGGCGAAAGCCUGACGGAGCAACGCCGCGUGAGGGAUGAAGGCCUCUGGGCUGUAAACCUCUUUUAUCAAGGAAGAAGAUCUGACGGUACUUGAUGAAUAAGCCACGGCUAAUUCCGUGCCAGCAGCCGCGGUAAUACGGGAGUGGCAAGCGUUAUCCGGAAUUAUUGGGCGUAAAGCGUCCGCAGGCGGCCCAACAAGUCUGCUGUUAAAAAGUGGAGCUUAACUCCAUCAUGGCAGUGGAAACUGUUGGGCUCGAGUGUGGUAGGGGCAGAGGGAAUUCCCGGUGUAGCGGU